rnacentral:lncRNA from 1 species
GGACUUCCUGCCAAGCCCCCCAGAGUCUCUCUGCUGCCGCCGCAAGCGCCGCUGGCCCGGGGACCACAGAUUGGAAGCAGGCAGUCACUGGUCGUGGACAGGAAGACUCUCUCCGGCCAUCUCAGCUGUGGUCCUCUAACCUGUGCCUGUGAGCCACCAAGAGUGAACGGAAACUAGAAGCAUUGCCACCAACAACUGGAGCAGUGACCACACUGAAGUUUCUCUGUCGAGGGGGAAGGGGAGUAAGGAGAAAAAAAAAAAAAAAAGGCAAGUAAGCAAGCAAGCCAGCAAGCACAGGAGCACACUCUCGUGGAGGCCCACACCCUCCCUGUGCCUACCCAAGAUGUGUCAGUCAGAGAAGCAUCCAGGACCGGAGCUCCAAGCAGCAGCAAAAUGGUUGUACUUUCCCCAGCUGGCCCUAUGGCGGAGGCUAGGCCAGCUGAGCUGCAUGUCCAGACCUGCUCUGAAUCUGCGCUCCUGGCUGCUGACCAUCCUCCACUACCUCCUGCCCUUCCGUGUGCUCGGGCCCCACAGCCAGGUGGGAUGGAGGCCCCUGAGCAGGGUGUUCCUGUAUAAAACUGUGCCAACGAGUUUGCUGUCAUGUGCCUGUGGUCGCCUCAACAAAGUAGAACUUCCUUACUGGCUCUGGAGGCCAGUCUACAGCCUGUAUAUCUGGACCUUUGGGGUGAACAUGACUGAGGCUGCAGUGGAGGACCUGCACCACUACCGCAACCUCAGCGAGUUUUUCCGGCACCAGCCCAUCAGAUGGCAAGAUCCUCACCUUUGGGCAGGUGAAGAACUCUGAGGUGGAGCAGGUAAAGGGCGAAACCUACUCCUUGGAGUCCUUCCUGGGCCCUCGAACCAGUACAGAAGACCUGCCCUUCCCUCCAGCUUCUUCCAGUGACUCCUUCAGAAACCAGCUGGUCCCCCAAGAAGGGAAUGCGCUCUACCACUGUGUCGUCUACCUGGCCCCAGGAGACUACCACUGCUUCCACUCCCCCACUGACUGGACCGUCUCACAUCGGCGCCACUUCCCAGGUUCCCUGAUGUCAGUGAACCCUGGCAUGGCCCGAUGGAUCAAAGAGCUCUUUUGUCACAAUGAGCAUGUAGUCCUAACUGGAGACUGGAAAAAUGGGUUCUUCUCGUUGACAGCAGUGGGAGCCACCAAUGUGGGCUCUAUCCAUAUCCACUUUAACUGAGUGAGCAAAGCCCACAGGCUAAACCUCUUGGGUCCAACCACUUCAUUUACUGUACAGCCUUACCUUUGGGCUUAUAAAUUUUGUAGUGCAGGAGGGAUGAUCUAGCUCUGACCAGGCUGGACUCUACAGACAUCCAUACCAGCCCAGCCUCCCUCUCCCUGUUGCCCAAUCUGUGGCCAUUCACCUGCCUGAACCAAUCCCACAUCUUAACACACGGCUUCUGCCAGGAUCCCUGAUCAGAAGCAAGGAUGGAGCCUGCAGGAGGGUAGAGUUGGCUUGGGUGAGAAAAUCUGGUACCCACUCUGCCUUUUUAGGUUUUAAUGGCUGCUGCUGGCACUAGCCUUUCAGCAUUUAUGUCUAACCCCUGCCCCUCCUUGUCAAAGUCACAGCUGAUACUGGGAGUGUUGAUUAGUUAGGCCUUUGUCUCUGCCACCUGGGCUGGGCAGAGUUGAGGACAGGCUCAACCUUCUUGUUCCUAGGACUUGCACACAAACAGCCCCAGGUACAGCAAGGUACUACAAUGACCUGAGCUUUGUAACAAGGAGGGCAUUCCCAUGCACAAGGGUGAGCCCCUGGGCGAGUUCAACCUGAGCUCCACAUCAUGCUCAUCUUCGAGGCACCCAAGGACUUCAACUUGAGGCUGAAGGCAGAACAGAAGAUCUGCUUUGCAGGAGCACUGGGCUCCCUCUAGUCCUCUCGGUUGUGGCUGCCAAAGGAUCUUUCCACACAGGAGCAUGAGGGUCUUUAGCGGAGCCCCAGGAUGUCUAGGUGAGGGGCACUGUGGGGCUGACCUUAUAAGACCUGAAUGAUGUGUUCCUGCCUGUCCAUGGGUGCAGAGGAGAGGUUCUGGGUCUCUCAGGACCUAGGCCCCUUUUCUGAGUAUGGGUGGGUGUGAUUUGACCCCAAAGUCACUUUAAGGGGUGUUUUAAAUUUUUGUACAAGCCAGAGCCUCCCACCCCUAACUCCUGGCUGUGUACUACCACACCCUCUAGCUGCGCCCCGACCCGUCACAGGGCUCUCUCACUGUGCACAGGGUGACGUGCCUGCUGGGCAGAGACUGUGGAUCCACUGUCUUCCUAGAGCAGGCCACAUGGCCUUCAUAACUGCUUUCUGCUCCCAAAUUUCACCUAUCUGCAUGCUGGAAAAGUAAAAUCAUUUAUAUAUUGCU